GCUAUGCAAACGGGGGUGUUACAUCUUCAAUUCUUAACUCAAUUCUUGAAAAUUAAACCUAAUUUCAAAAAAAGAAGUGAAAAGGAAGAUAGAUGAUGCACUUACCUCUUAUGGAGUUCUUCCAAUAUUUUAACCUUCAAGCUUCUCCUUCUUUCUUUGCUACUAAUCUUCUAUUAUAGGGUGAAUUAGAGGAUUUUUUUUUCUGAUUUGGGAUAUUAAUUGGAAGAGAAAGAAGUGAUUUGGAGCUAGGGAAUUUUAAGAAUGGAGGUAUGGAGAGAGAGAUGAUGAUGGCCGGCUAAUUACUUGGAGAAGAUGAGAUUUUUUUUUCUUUUUAAUUUUGUCUCUUUUAUAAGAUAAUUAUCCCCAAUUUUCAUAAAUUAAAAUUAUAAAUUUAAUUAGGU
rnacentral:misc_RNA from 1 species